rnacentral:rRNA from 1 species
AGUGAACGCUGGCGGCGUGCCUAAUACAUGCAAGUCGAACGGAGUGGCGCACGGGUGAGUAAUGUAUAGCUAAUCUGCCCUACACUAGAGGACAACAGUUGGAAACGACUGCUAAUACUCUAUAGUGUAGGUUGAGGCUAUAUUGUAUCAGCUAGUUGGUGAGGUAAUGGCUCACCAAGGCUAUGACGAAUAACUGGUCGGAGAGGAUGAUCAGUCACACUGGAAGGGAGACACGGUCCGGACUCCUACGAGAGGGAGCAGAAGGGAAUAUUGCUCAAGGGGGGGAACCCUGAAGCAGCAACGCCGCGUGGAGGAUGACACUUUUCGAGGCGUAAACUCCUUUUGGUAGGGAAGCGGUACCUAACGAAUAAGCACCGGCUAACUCCGUGCCAGCCGCCGCGGUAAUUC